AGUGAACGCUGGCGGUAGGCCUAACACAUGCAAGUCGAACGGCAGCACAGUAAGAGCUUGCUCUUACGGGUGGCGAGUGGCGGACGGGUGAGGAAUACAUCGGAAUCUACUUUUUCGUGGGGGAUAACGUAGGGAAACUUACGCUAAUACCGCAUACGACCUACGGGUGAAAGCAGGGGAUCUUCGGACCUUGCGCGAUUGAAUGAGCCGAUGUCGGAUUAGCUAGUUGGCGGGGUAAAGGCCCACCAAGGCGACGAUCCGUAGCUGGUCUGAGAGGAUGAUCAGCCACACUGGAACUGAGACACGGCCCAGACUCCUACGGGAGGCAGCAGUGGGGAAUAUUGGACAAUGGGCGCAAGCCUGAUCCAGCCAGACCGCGUGGGUGAAGAAGGCCUUCGGGUUGUAAAGCCCUUUUGUUGGGAAAGAAAAGCAGUAGGUUAAUACCCCGCUGUUCUGACGGUACCCAAAGAAUAAGCACCGGCUAACUUCGUG
rnacentral:rRNA from 1 species